rnacentral:lncRNA from 1 species
AUAUUUAGUUUUCUGAGAAACCUCCACAUUGUUUUCCAUAGUGGUUGCACCAGUGUACAUUCCCACCAAAAGUGUAAGAAGACUCCUUUUCUCUAUACCCUCUCUAGAAUUUAUUAUUUGUAGACUUUUGGAUAAUGGCUAUUCUGGCUGGUAUAAGGUGGUACCUCACAGUAGUUUUGAUUUGUAGUUCUCAAAUAAUUAGUGAUCUUGAAUCAUUCUGAGAGCUUUACAUAGCGCUGGGGAUCCCAUGUUUUGGAGCCAUCCCUGAGCGGCUGUGGCUUUACCCAUCUUGGAGGGCCUUGGGCUGCAGUGGCUCGGAGGUCCACUGCCAAGCCCUCUUUAGGACAGUAUGAUAAGGAGCAAAUGUUCCUUCUGCCGAUUGGCCUGUGUCUGAGCUCUUGGAAAGAGAAUAACAGUGCCUUUCAUUUGUCAAGCAGCUUCUAAAAUAUUUGCUUUUGUUAUCUCGUUCCAUCCUGAUAAUAACCGUGUGAGAAAAGCAGGGUGGCGUUCUUAUUGUCCUUGUACACAGGCGGGGAAGCUCAUGCCCCAGGAGCUGAAGUCUCGCCUGGUUUGGUAAUGGGCAGAGCAGGGACCAGACUCCCUGUCUUUUCCCCGUGAAAGUGGAUGUAGUGCAAGAAGGGCCCUUGUGAAGGGUCGAGAAGACAAAGAGUAGAGAGACUGAUGGUGUUGAACUUUAGCUUUUAGAGGCUAAUGAAUAUUCAUUCUUCCCAUGAGUGAAAUAGGGAAUCAGAGCCACCUGGUUUUUCUCCCUAUUGGGUGGAGAGGCCUUCUUAUCCUCAAGGCUCCCUGGGUCUCACCUCCAUGGGCACCGUUUUCUGAUGACUUAAAGUUAAGAGCUGGGGAAGCAGCAGGGCCAACUGGAUUGUCUUUUGAGGGCAGGACAGAUGAGAGCAUGUCUUCGGUGAACCGAGCUCAGAGGAGUUCUUCAAUUGACAGGUGGUGAGGAUGGGCAGCAGGGGGUGGGGGGGGUGCGUCCCUAGAAGGCCUGUUCCCUGCAGCCCAGCUGCCCUCAGGGCUGGACCAUUCUGAGCCAGGGGUCUCGAGAACCACUGUGGCCCUGGCUGCAUCUCUUUGCUUUCUGAUGGGGCGUGUGUUUUACCUCUCGAAUUCUAUCAGUGGAAUCGGGUGAAGUCUUGACCUCGUUGGACACGGGGGCCUGCACGUUGGUAUCUCUUGUUUGGGGAACCCUUUGCGCUACCAUGUCAGGUAGGCUGGACCGGCUCCUGUGUGUGUUUGCAAAGGAAGACAAACCUGUGUUUUGUAGAAAGGGCCUAUUGUUCCCUGGUAAUCGCUGGUGGCCAACUUCUCCGGGCUCCACUGGCUGCCUCUGCAGAGGGAGCCAGGGUCAGAAUGCUAAUCAGCGCCUUGCACAUACAGCAGCGAUCCAGCCUCAGGGACUGUCAGAAAGUAAACAAAAGUGUGCAGUUUUAGAUUCCAGAAGAAGAGCGGGAGUAGAAAAGAGGCCAGAGUGGAAAAAAGAAUGCACGGACGAGGAAAAGCAGAAAUUCUCAUUCCUGGCUUCUCGAAACAAAAUCAAGAAACCCUCUGGUGGGCUGGCUCUCUCCUCAGGGGUGCCGUGGUGGGCAGCUCACCCCCUAGCACUGGUCUCCUGGGCUCCAAGCCUCGAUAUUGCCCUGGGUGAGCUGGACAGAGGCGUUUUGAUUCCAUGUAUGCUGUGCAUUUCCAACAGUCCCUUUCCUGCCCUCCGUUUAUUCUCUCAAGUUCCAAACGGCAGGCUGGUGUUGGGAAUCCUGCCGUCUUGAAGGAGCACUUUCUUCCAAAUGGGAGAAACGUGAUUGUUGGAACCAGCGCGUAGGUCUUGGUGGUGGGUAUGCAUGAUGGUCGCAGUUCGGCUUCACCCCUGACCGUGGAUGUUCCUUCUCUGAGUGUGAGGAGAGAAUUAUUUUCCACUCCUGGACUGCCUUCUGGCCUCCUUCCUGUAGAUGUAUAGAGUCUAAUCUGGACCUUUCUUUGAUUCAGUGCCUGUGUUCGUAAACUCCGUGGCCAUACAUGGCAGGUGCACAAAAUUGCAUCUCCUAGAGGGCAUCGUGGUGGAAACCGCAUCGGCCGUGGAGUGAGGAGGGACCCGGUUCUAGUUCUCACCCUGCCAGUGACCUGACAUGUCCCCUUACGGGGCCAUAGUCGCCUGUUUCACAGAUGAGGUUGGACUAGAUUGGGGCUACGGGAAUUUUCAUCUCAGCCUUCUCUCCUAAAUUAUAGCCCAUUAAGUGACCUUUGAGCAGGAGCUGUCUAUAAGCUAUUUGAAGUCUCUGCAGUCCUCGCUCAGCAGCUGUGUUUAUGAUUCUCCCUGCCUGAUCCCCUAGAGUUUGGCGAGUAGAGAAAUCAUCUCCAUCCAGCUCUGUGGUGAGCAGAGACCCAAUCUGCACUCCUUCUCCAGAGUUAAGUCUUGGCUCCACUGGGAGAGAGAGCGCCCAUCACCACACACAGCCUUGAUCUCCUUUAACCGGAACUGGAAUGAGCCAGACCUGGGGUUCAUGAGACAAAGGGGGGACAGGCUGCGUUCAGGGUUGAGGAGUCCUGAUGGGAAAAAUUAACAGUGUGUGGACUUAGGGAAUCGAAGACACGUAAAGCACACCUGCUGCUGGCUCUCUGGGGGAGGCUUGGUGCCUUCCUAGUACCGACUGGACUCGGAGGAAACUGGCCGAAAGACUGGACAUUGGGAAGUUCCCCUCGUGGCGCAGUGGUCAUGAACCACAGUAUCCAUGAGGUCACGGGUUCAAUCCCUGGCCUCGCUUGGUGGGUUAAGGAUCCAGCGUUGCUGCGAGCUGUGCUGUAGGUUGCAGACAUGGCUUGGGUCUGGUGUGGCUGUGGUUGUGGCCAGCAGCCACAGCUCCUAUUCAACUCCUAGCCUGGGAACUUCCAUGUGCCACAG